UGACCUCAGGAUCAGGUAGGGAUACCCGCUGGACUUAA
rnacentral:rRNA from 1 species